GAUCCUGGCUCAGGAUGAACGCUAGCUACAGGCCUAACACAUGCAAGUCGAGGGGCAGCAGAUCGAAAGCUGCUUUGAUGCUGGCGACCGGCGAAUGGGUGAGUCACGCGUGUCCAACCUGCCCCCCGCCCGGGGAUAGCCCUUGGAAAUGAGGAUUAAGACCCGAUAGGUGCGCCUUCCGCAUGGCGAGCGCAUGAAACUGGCGAGGGAUGGGACGCGUCGGAUUAGCUGACGGCGGGGCAACGGCCCACCGUGGCGACGAUCCGCAGGGGUUCUGACGAGGAAGGUCCCCCACACUGGCACUGAGACACGGGCCAGACUCCUACGGGAGGCAGCAGUGAGGAAUAUUGGUCAAUGGCCGAGAGGCUGAACCAGCCAAGUAGCGUGCAAGGAUGACGGCCCUACGGGUUGUAAACUGCUUUUGCGGGAGGAUAAAGUGCGCCACGCGUGGCGCUUUGCAGGUAUCCCGUGAAUAAGGACCGGCUAAUUCCGUGCCAGCCGCAGC
rnacentral:rRNA from 1 species